rnacentral:rRNA from 1 species
AUUGAACGCUGGCGGCAUGCUUUACACAUGCAAGUCGAACGGUAACAGGCCGCAAGGUGCUGACGAGUGGCGAACGGGUGAGUAAUGCAUCGGAACGUGCCCAGUCGUGGGGGAAAACUACUCGAAAGAGUAGCUAAUACCGCAUACGAUCUAUGGAUGAAAGCGGGGGACCGUAAGGCCUCGCGCGAUUGGAGCGGCCGAUGUCAGAUUAGGUAGUUGGUGGGGUAAAGGCUCACCAAGCCAACGAUCUGUAGCUGGUCUGAGAGGACGACCAGCCACACUGGGACUGAGACACGGCCCAGACUCCUACGGGAGGCAGCAGUGGGGAAUUUUGGACAAUGGGCGCAAGCCUGAUCCAGCAAUGCCGCGUGCAGGAAGAAGGCCUUCGGGUUGUAAACUGCUUUUGUACGGAACGAAACGGCUCUGGUUAAUACCCGGGGCUAAUGACGGUACCGUAAGAAUAAGCACCGGCUAACUACGUG